rnacentral:rRNA from 1 species
GGCGAACGCUGGCGGCGUGCUUAACACAUGCAAGUCGAACGGAAAGGCCCUGCUCUUGUGGGGUGCUCGAGUGGCGAACGGGUGAGUAACACGUGAGUAACCUGCCCUUGACUUUGGGAUAACUUCAGGAAACUGGGGCUAAUACCGGAUAGGAGCUCCUGCUGCAUGGUGGGGGUUGGAAAGUUUCGGCGGUUGGGGAUGGACUCGCGGCUUAUCAGCUUGUUGGUGGGGUAGUGGCUUACCAAGGCUUUGACGGGUAGCCGGCCUGAGAGGGUGACCGGCCACAUUGGGACUGAGAUACGGCCCAGACUCCUACGGGAGGCAGCAGUGGGGAAUAUUGCACAAUGGGCGGAAGCCUGAUGCAGAAGCGCCGCGUGCGGGAUGACGGCCUUCGGGUUGUAAACCGCUUUCGCCUGUGACGAAGCGUGAGUGACGGUAAUGGGUAAAGAAGCACCGGCUAACUACGUG